CUGCUGUUCUGCUGCUCUUCUACAAAAAGAGGACUGAGCACUCUGAUGGUUCUAACAAGAGAGGAACCACAGACAUCACCAGGACUGAGAUUGACCUGUAUGAGAACUGUCCUCCACCCUCCACCCAUGCAGACUCCACCUACCAGAGUCUGGAUCCGGCCUCCAGGGAUCCG